UACGUAGGUGGCGAGCGUUAUCCGGAAUUAUUGGGCGUAAAGAGCGCGCAGGUGGUUGAUUAAGUCUGAUGUGAAAGCCCACGGCUUAACCGUGGAGGGUCAUUGGAAACUGGUCGACUUGAGUGCAGAAGAGGGAAGUGGAAUUCCAUGUGUAGCGGUGAAAUGCGUAGAGAUAUGGAGGAACACCAGUGGCGAAGGCGGCUUCCUGGUCUGUAACUGACACUGAGGCGCGAAAGCGUGGGGAGCAAACAGGAUUAGA
rnacentral:rRNA from 1 species